rnacentral:rRNA from 1 species
GUCUAUGGCCAUACCACCCUGAACAUGCCCAAUUUUGUCUGUUCUCGGAAGGUAAGCAGGGUCAGGUCUGGUUAGUCCUUGGAUGUGAGGAAUGAACCUAAGAGGUAUACUCU